rnacentral:lncRNA from 1 species
AGAGAAAAUGUGGCGCCGGAGCUUUAGCGCGACGCCUGGUCAAUUGACUAAGAAGAAAUGGGACGCGUUGGUGAUCGGCGGCGGCCACAACGGUUUGGUAGCUGCAGCUUACCUAGCGCGCGGCGGUCUCUCCGUGGCAGUUCUCGAGCGACGCCACGUCAUCGGCGGGGCGGCAGUGACGGAGGAGAUCGUUCCGGGCUUCAAAUUCUCACGCUGCAGUUACGUCCAGGGACUAAUUCGUCCAUGCAUCAUUAGGUGAAAAACUUGUUUCGAUUUCUAGAUAAGUUGGUGCGUUCUCUGAUCAUGGAUUGUGAUCGAUUCAGUGAUUUGGAGUUAGGCAGACACGGGCUUAAGCUUCUGAAGAGGAGUCCUGCGUCGUUUACGCCUUGUUUGGAUGGGCGUUAUCUUCUUCUAGGCCCAGAUCAGGCGCUUAACCACUCUGAGAUUUCCAAGUUCUCGAGAAGUGAUGCUGAAGCUUACCCAAGGUGAUCUUGUUUUGGGCGUAAAUAGGAUAAUUUAAUUUCACUAGAACUUUUUUUUAUUUGGAUUUGCAGAUACGAGAAGCAGCUAGAGAGGUUUGGUAGAUUCAUGGAUACUCUCUUGGAUGCAGCUCCUCCAGAGUCUCUGCAAGGUGACUCUUCUUUUAAUGACAAGCUGAGCAAUAAGUUGCACAAAUCUGCUUUCUGGGCUCGGUGUCUCCGCCAAGCAGCUUCUUUGGGGCAAAAGGAUAUGGUGUAUGGUUUCUUAUCUCUUAAUGUGUGUGUGAUACACGUGCUCUCUAUCUCUCUAUGGUUAGUAUGGAAUAAUUAGAAGUGUCAAGCUAAUAAGAAGUAAUGCAGAGAGAGUCGUUUAGUGUUAUGUGAGUGUCUAUCUCACACGUGGAUUGGCACGUGAUAGUUAUAUGAGCAAUAGGUAGUAUACAACAAGGGUGUGAGAUUAGGGAAAGGCAUCACGCAACGCAAGAGAGUGGUCACUCAGGGGGAGGAGAGAGACUCCAUUAACAUCUCUCAAAGCUUGUAACACAGUUCUAUAAAUCAGUAAUAUAAAUGUUGUUUCUUGUUGGUCUAUAUCUUUACUGAAUCGUUACGCUUUGAGAGCCUCCAUUGUUGAUCUGAAUGCCUGCUCUUUGAUGCACUUGUGUUGUUUUGUUUUGUGAAGGGACUUCAUGGAUCUUCUAUUGGCCCCAGCUUCAAAAGUUUUGAACAACUGGUUUGAGGUUGUUUUCUGACCUUACCACGUCUUGGUUCUAUUAAUUAACAACUGGUAGCUAUAUCUGAUGUUAUACGGUUUCUGGUUGGCCUUAUACUUUCAGUCUGAUGUCCUGAAGGCGACUCUUGCAACAGAUGCUGUGAUUGGAUCUACGGUAAUUGAAUUUCUUAUUUAGAUCUUGAGCUUUGAGGUUUCAAAUUUUCUUGAUAUAUUUAUUAUUAUUAAUCUAAGGAAGGGGAAAGGUGAGAGAUGCUUCUUUAUGUUCAGGAAGCUGCUCAAUAGUAAAUUGGGGAGUUAAUGUAGUUCUCUGAACAUUUUUUGACAGGCCAGUGUCCAUACUCCUGGAAGUGGAUAUGUCUUGCUACAUCAUGUGAUGGGAGAAUCAGAUGGAGAGCAUGGCAUUUGGUCGUAAGUAUUCGAAAUAUCAAAUUGUAUUUUCUUCUAAAUGAAUUUGGCAAUGUAGAAAUAGUGGUGUAUGUUUUACAAAGGUCUGAAUGCGUAAGCAAUAGAAGAACUCUUUUUUACUUGAUAAUAAUAAAACAUGCAUUCUCGCGAGGGGUGAAUGAAGGGCACAAGAUGGUCUUUUAAAGUAAGGCCUGACUCUGCGUAGUAGCUGAUAAGAAAUAUUUUGUAGUUACGUCGAAGGUGGGAUGGGCUCUGUCUCCAUGGCUAUAGCCAAUGCUGCAAAGGAAGCUGGCGCUCAAAUUUUCACAAACGCAGAGGUAUUUGUUUUCGGGAUCAUUUUGAGGACUAUCUUGUUCCUAACAUCUCUUGUUCCUAGUUUCCAAAAAAAAAACAUCUCUUGUUCCUAACGUCUCUCCUAUCAUAAAGCAGAACCGCUUAGUACACUCUCAAUUUUACUCUGCAGGUUUCUGAAGUGUUGACUGAGGAUUCUAGCAGCGUGAAAGGGGUUAGUUUGUCUUUCAAUGAUUCCCGGAUAAAGUGAAAGCUUGAAUCAAAUACAUCUGACAUUAUCUGGUAUAAGGUUUUGCUUGCUGAUGGUACACGGGUGGAAUCAUCGGUUAUAUUGUCCAAUGCAACCCCUUACAGAACUUUUGUGGUAAAUCUUUUUGUGUCAUAUCAUGUCUACUUGAAAAACUCCAGUUUAUGCAAGUUUACAUUGAGGUCGUCUGUUUCGGAUAACAGGAGCUGGUUCCGUCCAAUGUUCUUCCUGAAAAGUUCGUCAGUGCUAUAAAGAACUCAGAUUACAGCUCAGUAAGCAUUUUUUAUUUAUUUUAUUUAAGUUCCUUAAGCCAAAUAGUUUAAUUAUUGCUCCAUCUAGCUAAUUGUUUUGGUGAUUGAUUGAUUUGUUUGCUGUGAACAGGCAACUACCAAAAUAAACAUGGCUGUUGACAAGUUACCGCAGUUCCAAUGCUGUAACAACACUAAUCAUUCGGGACCAGGACCAGAGCAUUUCGGCACUAUACACAUUGGUGCAGAGACGUAUGCCUCGUGCUAAUUUUAUCUUUGACUUUUGUAUCUCUAAGAACAAAUGAAAACAUCAACGUCUCUGUUUUAUCUCUGGCUUUGUCAGCAUGGACGAGGUUCACACAGCAUGUCAUGAUGCUGAAAACGGCUUACCAUCAAGAAGACCAGUGAUCGAAAUGACUAUUCCAUCCACACUAGACAAUACCAUAUCUCCUCCAGGCACGCUUAUUCUCCUUUUUCUUGUGUGUCUAGUAAUAAGAAUGCAUUUUAGCUCUGAAUGUGGUUUUGUGUUAUAGGGAAACAUGUAAUCAACUUGUUCAUCCAAUACACUCCUUACAAGCCAUCAGAUGGAACCUGGGAAGAUCCUGUGUAUCGAGUGAGUUAAGUUUAUACACUCUUAUCUAACGUCAUUUUUAUCACUCCUCAAAUUGUACAUUCCGUAUGGGAUGUUUACCAGCUUGAUUGUGUGAAAUCAGGAAGCAUUUGCACAAAGAUGUUUCAAAUUGAUUGAUGAAUAUGCACCUGGGUUUAGCUCAUCCGUCAUUAGCUACGAUAUGCUGACUCCUCCCGAUCUCGAAAGGGAAAUUGGUCUAACAGGUAGAUUAUGCAGUAAAAGCUUCCUAUUAAAAGGGAUAUGAAAUGAUCCAAACCAUAUUGACAUCCCCACCAUGUGUUCCGUAGGAGGAAACAUCUUUCACGGUGCCAUGGGAUUAGAGUCUCUCUUCUUGAUGCGGCCGGUGAAAGGAUGGUAAAUCUUAUGCACACCCUUCUCACAAUUCAGAAACAGUCCAUACGAUUCAUGAUUUAAAAAAGGUGGGAAAAUGUGACACAGGUCGAACUACAAAAGUCCUUUGAAAGGACUCUACUUGUGCGGAAGUGGAGCUCACCCCGGAGGUGGAGUUAUGGGCGCACCGGGAAGAAACGCAGCUCUUGUUGUUCUUCAAGACUUGAAAUAAAUCUAGAGACGUCAAUGUUAACUGUAUCUGUUUAGGAGGACUCUUUGACUUCAACUUAAAAACUUCUGUUGCUUUGUACUUCGCUGUCUCUCUUGGUAAGGACAGAUGUGUUACUAUCCAAUAAGAAGCCUCCACGUGUAUGUUUACCUAAAAAAGACCUAAGUGGCUAAAGGAACAAUUAUGAGAAGUGAUAAAAAGCACAUUGGCGCCGCAAAAUACGAAGGAAAUCUUCGAUGGAAAAUCUUUCUCCUCUACGAGACGACGAUGAGGAAAACGAAGUAGACGAAGCCAAAAUGCUCCUCAUCGGUGAGAACGGAACCAACGGUGAUAGCUUCUCUCCUCGGUCCGACGGUGCACCGGAGCUCCAGCAUUACACUAUCCGCUCCAUCAAGUCAACGGUCGUGAUUCGUCAACUGACGUCACAGGGUCUCUCCUUCCAGCUCUGGCCAGCCGCUUCUACUUUCGUCGCGCUUCUCGAUAACUACCGCCUCGACCCUGCCAACAGCCCCCUCGCCGCAACACUCUCCUCGCUGAAACCCGCCGGCUCUACUACUACACCGAUGAACAUUCUCGAGCUCGGAUCCGGAACCGGCGUCGUCGGAAUCGCCGCGGCGAUCACUCUUUCUUCUCAGUGUGUAGCGGAUCUCUUAUACCGCUAGCAACAACACUAAUACCAUCUAAAGAGUAUAGCUGCGGAGGAACGUUCUUCAGAACUACCCAAGUUGGUGCAAAGAGCAACUCCUGAGCCGCCAGAUUCCCAUCCGCUGUCCAAGGAUAAACCGAGAAGGCACACCUAUCUGCCUGCCAGUAACCCACUUGCAGCACCCAUUCUCUAGUCUGCACCUAGGGGAUGUAAAUCAAGACACAGGUUUCCGAGACCGUUCUGACCGUAAUACUACCGAACUUUCCCCACACUGGGUUCAAAUCAGUAAUAAUCUUUGAAGCAGAAGGACGACGACCGUGAAAGUGAGCCACCACGUGGUCUUUCCAAAGUUCCAAAGUUUUGAGAAGCACAGACUCCGGCGCUUGAACUACCGGCGUCCCGUCCUCUAAGAGCGACGGAUCUGAGAUCUUACGGAGAUUCCUCAAGGACGAUUUGAACCGCGCCGCGUACGAUGGAACGUGCGUAGCUGGAAUCGUCGCUGGGAUCGAAGGAGACUGGAGCUUCAUCUCCAAAUCGCGAUUGCGGAGCUGAGUGUCGCGAUUUGAGAUUCUCGCAGAAGAGGCCCCUCCUGGGUCAAUAGGAGGGCUCAACGAAGGAGCGGAGACCGGAAUCGUCAUGAGAGACAAACGGCGGGGAAUGACUUCUCGCUAGCCGGCGAAAGGCCAACUAACGGCGGAGAGAACCGAAAACCCUAAACGCCCAAAUCGCCCUUUAUUUCGCUCUUAGGAGAGAGAAAAAAGCCUUCCAAAAACACCAAAUUUAAAAACACCAAAUUACAAAUUCAAAAUGAUAAUAUUCUAAAAUUUAUAAAAAGAUAAAAUCAUAGAUGCUAAAAUACAAUUCUUGAAAUCAAAUGUAAUACAAUAUUUGAAAUGUAACACAAAAGAAAUUAUGUUGUAAAAAUCAAAAGUACUAUAAUAUUACUACUAUAUUACUAUCAUCCAAAAUUUAAAACCAUAACAUCCAAAAAUAUCAGAUACUACUAUGCAUACAAUUUAUCAAAAUAAUAGAGUUAUAUUAUUUAAACAUAACAAUGUAGUUACUUAUAAAACCUCCUAAAAUACUUAAGUGGUAGAUGUUACAGUAUUAUAUAUUUAAACAUAAUAUGGAAAUAUAAAGUAUCAUAAACAAAUAUCCUUCUACUUUAUAACUAAAUAAAUUUUAAAAUGUAUCGUAUGCAAAUUGUAAAAAAUUAAAAAACUAUAUUAAAGGAGAUUAUUUAUUUGAUUAUUUCAGAUUAUAAUUUAUGUAACGAACUCAAAAAUAUAUUAAUAAGUGAUAACAAUCAAUAAAAAAUUGAAAUGCAUAAAAAGUCACUACUUGACAAAAAAAAACAAAUCACUAUAUAUCAAUAAUGAUGAUAAGAAACUUAAACAAUAAGAUUAUAUAGAUUUACAAUAUAUAACACUAAAUAUAAAUCAUAUAUAAAACUUCUAUGAUAAUAUCAAAGUUAUAUAUUUAUAAAAUGAAAAAUAUAUGCAUGUUUGUGCGGGUUAAACUCUAGUUUUUGGUUUAUUUUACACAUUUUUAAAUAGAUUUGCUAGAUUUUAAUUAAAAAAUGUGUGACAUUUUCAAACUGAGUGAUACAUAAAUGUGUUUGGAUAUUUAUGUGUCAAACAUUUAGAACUGAGCCAGUCAAGAACUAAAUAGAGCCGACCUAAAACCGAAACCGAUAUAAAAGUAACUUAAUAAGAAUCAACAUUAAUCUGGUCCAAAAACCCAAAUGUCCAAAUCUACGUAUAAGUUUAUAUUCCUAACUUGUAAGGUAAAAUUAUUAAAUUUACACUAAAGUGUUUAUAAUCCUUGUAUACUAAGACUAACUUCUUAAUGUCGUUUGAAUGUAUGAUACGAAGGUCAUCUGCCCACCAAGAAAAAGUAAGAGUUGAUAAAGUUAAAGGGUAUUUAUGUGACCCCCAAUAACAAGAAGUAACAUUUUUGAAAGAAAUGACACUUUGAUGCUUACUUUUAAAAAGUCUAGACUCUAAACAAAGUUGUCCUUUAAAUAUCACUAGCAUUUAGUUAAAAUGUAAACAAAAUGAUUUGGAAUGGGGUAUACAAUGAAAGGGAUGGUGUAGUUGAUGUGGGGGGCUCCAAAAACUUAGGAAAAUUUGCUUUAAUCUUAACUUUUGAUUUUUAAAUUAAUGAAGCAAAUCUAAGGGAUGGGAAUGUGUGCUUUAUGUUCGGUGGCUAGUAACUCAAAUCAGCAGUCUAUGUAGAAUUCGUGUUGUCAAAAAACUCUUUAAGGACAUUGUAACGUAAUUCAGGCAAAGGGUUACCAUGACGAACAUUUACAAUCCUCGACAUAUAUUCUUUGACAAUCACAAAGAUCCAUUGAUAAUCGCCGAAGGUCUUCUAUUCACCAGCGAUAAUGGUCCGUCAUAGAAUCCCUACAUAGAAAAACAUAGGAGGUUAGGUACUUAGACUAUCCGCAACCGUGAUACUGGGUAAAAAACCCUUAGAAUUUUAUUUUUAUUUUUUAUUAUUAUUUUUUUUUUCAGCUGAAAAAAAAUGACCAAUGGUAAGCCGCCACUUAACAGCAGGAUCCGCGAACAGUUACAAUGUUCCAAACGAAUUGAUCCUUAGAGAAUGAUUUGAAGAGGCCAAUCCUUAACAUCAAGUUUUUUACUAUUUUUUACCUAGGUUUUGGAGCUAAAAAAUUGGCAAGAAACUCCAUUGCGGAUGCUCUUAUAUUAUAUCUUUUUUAUUUAUGAUUAGGGUUAAAAAACUAACCCAACUUUAGAUAUAAUCAUAUAAUCCCAGCGAAUAGUGGCAAUUAAUCUGGGUCGUGGAUGUCAAUGAUCAACAACUGAUCCAACGAUCUUAAAGUUGAAGCAAAUAUGUGUUUUGUCAAGAUCUGGCAAGAAUGCAACUUAUAUUUAAGGUAUAAAUAGUGACCAUGGAACGGCGAGGAUUAGGAAUAAUACAUUCCAUAACGUUCCCAAAAAAAAACACCAUUCACAAGGAAUAAUAAUUCCAUCGCAUUCCCUAUCAUUCCUUUUUUUGUAGAGAAUUGAAGAACAAAAUUAUUCUUUGAUAAAAUUGAUAAGAAACAACCAUUCCUUUUUAUUCCUGUUAUUUUAUUCCCGAACAUUCCUUUUUUAUUCGUUCAUUUUGUUUCCCGAAUGGUCACCAGUCAGACCCUUAGCUAAGACUCAACGGUAGUUUAAGGAAAAAUAUCAUUGGAAUAAAAAAUGUCACAACAUGUAAUAAAUAAGCUAAAAUGUGACCGGAGGCAUAAUAUUCUCUAAUGAUCUUUCCAUUUUUCAUUCCUACUUGAUUUGCCAUCUCAAUUCCAUGAUUAAGGGGAGACUAUCAUCCAAAUAUGCAAUGGCUUCAGACAAAUCUUCAAGUUUCACUGUCCUAAUUUCAUCAAUAUAUCUGCAGUCUUGAACCAACUAAUCCCAAUCUAAACCUACUUUGUAAAGUCAUCCAAAAUAUUAGGACUAUAAUUACAAUUUACGAAAACUAUUUGGGGUUAAAACAAAUACGUGCUAACAAUUGGGACUGUUAUGUGAAUUUACAAAACAUACAUGUGGCUAUUUUGAAGUCGUACAACUAAUUGAACCUUACUGUAAAUUGUCAAAACUAUUGGGGACGAAAGUAAAUCACCAACUUGGAGUGGAGUGACAGACUUUUGAGUAGAGAAACGUGGACUGAAGAAGAGAAAAUGUGGCGCCGGAGCUUUAGCGCGACGCCUGGUCAAUUGACUAAGAAGAAAUGGGACGCGUUAGUGAUCGGCGGCGGCCACAACGGUUUGGUAGCUGCAGCUUACCUAGCGCGCGGCGGUCUCUCCGUCGCAGUUCUCGAGCGACGCCACGUCAUCGGCGGGGCGGCAGUGACGGAGGAGAUCGUCCCCGGCUUCAAAUUCUCGCGUUGCAGUUACGUCCAGG